rnacentral:rRNA from 1 species
UACCAGCACCCCGAGUGGUCGGGACGUUUAUUGGGCCUAAAGCAUCCGUAGCCGGUUUUACAAGUCCUCCGUUAAAUCCAGCUGCUUAACAGAUGGGCUGCGGAGGAUACUAUAAGACUAGGAGGCAGGAGAGGCAAGCGGUACUCAGUGGGUAGGGGUAAAAUCCGUUGAUCCAUUGAAGACCACCAGUGGCGAAGGCGGCUUGCCAGAACGCACUCGACGGUGAGGGAUGAAAGCUGGGGGAGCAAACCGG